ACUGUAGGCUCAGGCUUGAGCCUAAAAAAAAGCCUACAUACAGGCCUAGGCCCAGGCCCAGGCUUUAAGUUUUCCUAACAGGCCCAGGCCUAAUUUUAAAAAGCCUGGCUCGGCCUGGCCUAUUUCCACCCCUAACUAUGAAUUACGAAACAGUCGUUUUCCACUUUUCCAGCACAAGCUUUGUCCUCUCACUCUACCUUCAUCGCGAUUUAGGGUUUCUCCGUCUUGCAGAGUCGCAGCUUUGGAAAUGGCUGAUUCUCCUCGCAAAAGGUAUUCGCCAUCUCCUUCCCCCUGGGAGGAGAAGUCUCGCUCUAGAUCCAGGUCUCGCUCUAGGUCAUAUUCAAGGCAAAGGGGAAGGUCCAGAAGUCGUGACAGAAAUGAUGCUAAUAAUCCUGGAGACACACUCUAUGUCACUGGUUUAUCUACUAGAGUGACAGAAAGGGAUCUUGAAGAGCAUUUCUCUAAGGAGGGAAAGGUAAAAUCAGUGUUUUUGGUUGUGGAGCCACGGUCUCGCAUCUCUCGUGGUUUUGCUUUUGUAACUAUGGAUAAUGAUGAUGAUGCCAGUCGCUGUGUCAAGCACCUCAAUCAGUCAGUUCUUGAAGGCCGAUACAUAACUGUGGAGAAGCUUUGUUGGCAGCAAUCAAAGAUGACCAGUUCUUCCAUUGCAACAUUUUAUUCACACAGCUUGAUCACUGGGCAGCUAAAACAGCUUUUCACAUGCAUCUGAUCAACUAAACAUAGCAACUAUUUUGACCAACAACUAUUACAACCUCAGCAAAUAGUUUCAACUCUCAACUAAUCAACAGUCAAUAGCAACAAUCUAAUGAGGCUUUUAUGGUAUCUCAUGUCUGGCAUCGGUUUCUGUUUUUCAUAUUAUUUUUGCAUUUUAUGGUAAAACGUUAGGACAUUUUUGUUGCUAACAGUAGACUUUGUGUUCAUGUGGAGGGCUAUGCUUUUGCUUAUCAUCAUAUUUUGUGAAAUGCAUUUUCUUCAUCCAUUUGUGUGUAUACUGAAGAUUAUUUUUGACUGGUCUCCAUUCCCUUUCUGACAUUUCUUUUUGAUAGAAAAAGCAGAUCUUUUGAUGUUAAUACAUUAGAAACUAUAGAGUAGAACUCUGCCUAAAAAAUUUUCCCCCAAUUUUUAAGAUUGUAUAAUGUGUAAUUCUUCAGAUUUAUACGUAUCUUGUGUUUUCAGUCCCGAAGGAAACGGGCAAGGACCCCAACACCUGGGCAUUAUCUUGGGCUCAAGAGCAGCAGGGGCGAGAGUUAUCGUGGUGACCGUGGAGAUCGUGGAGACCGUGGAAGGUACCGUGGCUACAAUGACUAUGGCCAUCGAAGGUCUCCAAGACGUUCUCCAUAUCGAGGUGGCCGAGAGCGAGAUCAUUCUCCUAGGCCUUCACCAUAUGGGGGAAGGUCAAGAAGGGAUCGGUCGAGGUCAUAUUCUCCUUAUCGCAGUCUUGAAAGGAACUAUGCUCGUGGUAGAUAGGACCUUUCGUCAUGGAUCUGUCAUAUUUUCUAGCUGAGUUUCUGUCUGAUUGAAGUCUGGUUUGAAUUUCUGAAUACUGAUGCAUGUUUUGUGCCUUUCUAAACUUCCAUCUUCCCUGCCUUGAACUCUUGAAGGUUUGAACUAAAAAAUGGUAGUGACAUCGAAGCUGAAUUGUUACAUUGUUGUGUAUAUUGUUGUUCAUGUACGGUGUAUCUAUAUAGUUAUUGUUGUGAUUAUUA